UACAGAGGUCUCAAGCGUUGUUCGGAUUCAUUGGGCGUAAAGAGCUCGUAGGCGGCUUGUCGCGUCGACUGUGAAAACUCGGGGCUCAACUCCGAGCUUGCAGUCGAUACGGGCAGGCUAGAGUUCGGUAGGGGAGACUGGAAUUCCUGGUGUAGCGGUGAAAUGCGCAGAUAUCAGGAGGAACACCGAUGGCGAAGGCAGGUCUCUGGGCCGAUACUGACGCUGAGGCACGAAAGCGUGGGGAGCAAACAGG
rnacentral:rRNA from 1 species